rnacentral:lncRNA from 1 species
CCCUUGUCUAACACAGCAGUCCUCAGGAUCUCACUGACUACCUUGCAGGUGCCCUUCCCUUAGGUGCCAAGAGUUGGCACAGCCUAGCAAUGCACGUCGUGCAGGACCUGAGGUGUCUCUGAAGGUGGGGCUAGAUCUGACAGACAGAUGGGAUAUUUCUGAGAAGCGAAUCCCACUACAACGGUUUGUGUUCAAAAAUUUCAAUUAGGUUAGAGAACAAAACAGCACAUAUAACUGCGGCUCAAGAUAAGAUGCCCUGGC